rnacentral:rRNA from 1 species
AUUGAACGCUGGCGGCAUGCCUUACACAUGCAAGUCGAACGGCAGCACGGGUGCUUGCACCUGGUGGCGAGUGGCGAACGGGUGAGUAAUACAUCGGAACGUACCUUAUCGUGGGGGAUAACGCAGCGAAAGCUGUGCUAAUACCGCAUACGCCCUGAAGGGGAAAGCGGGGGAUUGCAAGACCUCGCGCGAUUAGAGCGGCCAAUGCCUGAUUAGCUUGUUGGUGGGGUAAAAGCCCACCAAGGCGACGAUCAGUAGCUGGUCUGAGAGGACGAUGUACCACACUGGGACUGGGACACGGCCCAGACUCCUACGGGAGGCAGCAGUGGGGAAUUUUGGACAAUGGGGGCAACCCUGAACCAGCAAUGCCGGGGGAGUGAAGAAGGCCUUCGGGUUGUAAAGCUGUUUUGUCAGGGAAGAAACACCGGCUCUAACACAGUCUGGGAAUGACGGUACCUGAAGAAUAAGCACCGGCUAACUACGUGCCAGCAGCCGCCGUAA